UCGGGAAUUUUGGGCAGUGGGCGCAAGCCUGAUCCAGCCAUGCCGCGUGAGUGAAGAAGGCCUUCGGGUUGUAAAGCUCUUUUACCAGGGACGAUAAUGACGGUAUCUGGAGAAUAAGCCCCGGCAAACUUCGUGCCAGCAGCCGCGGUAAUACGAAGGGGGCUAGCGUUGUUCGGAAUUACUGGGCGUAAAGCGCACGUAGGCGGAUUGUUAAGUCAGAGGUGAAAUCCCGGAGCUCAACUUCGGAACUGCCUUUGAUACUGGCAAUCUAGAGUCCGGAAGAGGUUAGUGGAAUUCCCAGUGUAAAGGUGAAAUUCGUAGAUAUUGGGAAGAACACCAGUGGCGAAGGCGGCUAACUGGUCCGGUACUGACGCUGAGGUGCGAAAGCGUGGGGAGCAAACAGGAUUAGAUACCCAAGUAGUCCCUGAGCGGGCUGGCAAGGCGCAU
rnacentral:rRNA from 1 species